GCGUUGUUCGGAAUWWUKGGGCGUAAAGGGCAUGUAGGCGGUUCGGUAAGUUAAAGGUGAAAUGCCAGGGCUUAACCCUGGAGCUGCUUUUAAUACUGCCAGACUCGAGUCCGGGAGAGGAUAGCGGAAUUCCUAGUGUAGAGGUGAAAUUCGUAGAUAUUAGGAGGAACACCAGUGGCGAAGGCGGCUAUCUGGUCCGGUACUGACGCUGAGGUGCGAAAGCGU
rnacentral:rRNA from 1 species